GCGGACAGUGUCUGGUGGGUAGUUUGACUGGGGCGGUCUCCUCCUAAAGAGUAACGGAGGAGCACGAAGGUUGGCUAAUCCUGGUCGGACAUCAGGAGGUUAGUGCAAUGGCAUAAGCCAGCUUGACUGCGAGCGUGACGGCGCGAGCAGGUGCGAAAGCAGGUCAUAGUGAUCCGGUGGUUCUGAAUGGAAGGGCCAUCGCUCAACGGAUAAAAGGUACUCCGGGGAUAACAGGCUGAUACCGCCCAAGAGUUCAUAUCGACGGCGGUGUUUGGCACCUCGAUGUCGGCUCAUCACAUCCUGGGGCUGAAGUAGGUCCCAAGGGUAUGGCUGUUCGCCAUUUAAAGUGGUACGCGAGCUGGGUUUAGAACGUCGUGAGACAGUUCGGUCCCUAUCUGCCGUGGGCGCUGGAGAAUUGAGGGGGGCUGCUCCUAGUACGAGAGGACCGGAGUGGACGCAUCACUGGUGUUCGGGUUGUCAUGCCAAUGGCACUGCCCGGUAGCUAAAUGCGGAAGAGAUAAGUGCUGAAAGCAUCUAAGCACGAAACUUGCCCCGAGAUGAGUUCUCCCUGACUCCUUGAGAGUCCUGAAGGAACGUUGAAGACGACGACGUUGAUAGGCCGGGUGUGUAAGCGCAGCGAUGCGUUGAGCUAACCGGUACUAAUGAACCGUGAGGCUUAACCUU
rnacentral:rRNA from 1 species